UAUGUGAUCGUCUCUCGCAUAUCAAUAAGCGGAGGAAAAGAAACUAACAAGGAUUCCCCUAGUAACGGCGAGUGAAGCGGGAAGAGCUCAAAUUUGAAAUCUUAAAGGGUUUCCCUUUACGAAUUGUAGUUUAAAGAAGUGUUUUCUGUUGAGGUUUUGGUAAAAGUUCUUUGGAAUAGGACAUCAUAGAGGGUGAGAAUCCCGUAUUUGACCUUUACUUUCAACUUUGUGAUACACUUUCAAAGAGUCGGAUUGUUUGGGAAUGCAGUCCAAAAUGGGUGGUAAAUUUCAUCUAAAGCUAAAUAUUGGCGAGAGACCGAUAGCGAACAAGUACCGUGAGGGAAAGAUGAAAAGAACUUUGAAAAGAGAGUUAAACAGUACGUGAAAUUGUCAAAAGGGAAGCGGUUGACACCAGUGUUGUUUUUCCUGAAAAUCAAUUAAAGAACUGUUUAUGCUAAGUUGUUUAGACUUUAUCAGCUAACUGUUUAGUUUUGAGCUUUUCUUUAAUGCACUUUUCAGUUAACAAGUCAACAUCAAUUUCUUUUGCUAUAAAAAAGCUUGAGGAAGGUGGCUUGAGAUUCGUCUUAAGUGUUUAUAGCCUCUUGCCUAUGCAGUCGGAGAGAUUGAGGUCUGCAGCGUAGAUCCUUCGGGGUUAAAUGCAUUUGUGCUAAGUUAUAGCAUUUUAUAGACAACUUGUUGACUAUGAUUUGUCUUGUAGCUUACUCGCUUAUGUUAUUUUACCUACGCUUAGGAUGUUGAGUAGCGACAUACGCAC
rnacentral:rRNA from 1 species